rnacentral:rRNA from 1 species
GGGGAAUUUUCCGCAAUGGGCGAAAGCCUGACGGAGCAAUACCGCGUGGGGGAGGAAGGCUCUUGGGUUGUAAACCCCUUUUCUCAGGGAAGAACAUAAUGACGGUACCUGAGGAAUCAGCAUCGGCUAACUCCGUGCCAGCAGCCGCGGUAAUACGGAGGAUGCAAGCGUUAUCCGGAAUGAUUGGGCGUAAAGCGUCCGCAGGUGGCAAUUCAAGUCUGCUGUCAAAGACCGGGGCUUAACCCUGGAAAGGCAGUGGAAACUGAACAGCUAGAGUGCGGUAGGGGCAGAGGGAAUUCCCAGUGUAGCGGUGAAAUGCGUAGAGAUUGGGAAGAACACCGGUGGCGAAAGCGCUCUGCUAGACCGCAACUGACACUCAUGGACGAAAGCUAGGGGAGCGAAUGGGAUUAGAUACCCCUG